AUUGAACGCUGGCGGCAGGCCUAACACAUGCAAGUCGAGCGAGCGGCGGACGGGUGAGUAAUGUACGGGGACUGCCCGACAGCAGGGGAUAAACAAUGGAAACGGUAGCUAAUACCGCAUACUAUCCGAUUAACAUUAUGGGCUUAGCUAGUAGGUGUGGUAAUGGCUCACCUAGGCGACGAUCCCUAGCUGGUCUGAGAGGAUGAUCAGCCACACUGGGACUGAGACACGGCCCAGACUCCUACGGAGGCAGCAGUGGGGAAUAUUGCACAAUGGGCGCAAGCCUGAUGCAGCCAUGCCGAGUGUAUGAAGAAGGCCCUAGGGUUGUAAAGUACUUUCAGUCGGGAGGCGUUACCGACAGAAGAAGCACCGGCUAACUCCGUGCCAGCCGCCGCGGUAAUUC
rnacentral:rRNA from 1 species